AAGAUCAUACUUCACAGGAUCAUUUCUGUAGUAUAUCUUCACAAUCUCUCUACUCAACAGUGGAGUUGAUGCAGCCAUGAUGAAGAGUUAAAACUCUUCCUUCUGAGCGUGAGAACGAUCCAAAGUUUUGACUUGAUUUCAAAGCUUUCGGUCAUCGAUGAUCGUUCACCUCGAACAUUCUGUGUUCGAGGCAUGGAGGAAGAGUAUUCUGAGUGGU